rnacentral:rRNA from 1 species
AAUCAACGCUGGCGGCGUGCCUAACACAUGCAAGUCGAGCGAGAAAAGGGGGGCAACUCCCUGAGUACAGCGGCGCACGGGUGAGUAACACGUGGGUAAUCUACCCUGGAGUGGGGAAUAACACCGGGAAACCGGUGCUAAUACCGCAUACGAUCACGGAGUCUGCGGAUUUUGUGAUGAAAGGAGCAAUUCGCUCUAGGAGGAGCCCGCGGCUGAUUAGCUAGUUGGUGAGGUAAUGGCUCACCAAGGCAACGAUCAGUAUCCGGUCUGAGAGGACGGUCGGACACACUGGAACUGAGACACGGUCCAGACUCCUACGGGAGGCAGCAGUGGGGAAUUUUUGGCAAUGGGGGCAACCCUGACCAAGCAACGCCGCGUGGGUGAUGAAGUCUCUUGGGACGUAAAACCCUUUCGACGGGGACGAAGCCGCAAGGUUGACGGUACCCGUAGAAGAAGCCCCGGCUAACUCCGUGC